GCGCUUCGGCGCACCCAGAAACCCUUUGUGAACUUAUACCUAUUUGUUGCCUCGGCGCAGGCCGGCCUCUUCACUGAGGCCCCCUGGAAACAGGGAGCAGCCCGCCGGCGGCCAACUAAACUCUUGUUUCUUUAGUGAAUCUCUGAGUAAAAAACAUAAAUGAAUCAAAACUUUCAACAACGGAUCUCUUGGUUCUGGCAUCGAUGAAAAACGCAGCGAAAUGCGAUAAGUAAUGUGAAUUGCAGAAUUCAGUGAAUCAUCGAAUCUUUGAACGCACAUUGCGCCCUCUGGUAUUCCGGAGGGCAUGCCUGUUCGAGCGUCAUUUCAACCCUCAAGCCUGGCUUGGUGAUGGGGCACUGCCUUCUAACGAGGGCAGGCCCUGAAAUCUAGUGGCGAGCUCGCUAGGACCCCGAACGUAGUAAUUAUAUCUCGUUCUGGAAGGCCCUGGCGGUGCCCUGCCGUUAAACCCCCAACUUCUGAAAAUUUGACCUCGGAUCAGGUAGGAAUACCCGCUGAACUUAAGCAUAUCAAUAAGCGGAGGAAAAGAAACCAACAGGGAUUGCCCUAGAACGGCGAGUGAAGCGGCAACAGCUCAUAUUUGAAAUCUGGCUUCGGCCCGAGUUGUAAUUUGCAAAGGAUGUUUCUGGCGCGGGCCUUCCAGUUCCCUGGAACGGGACGCCACUGAGGGUGAGAGCCCCCGUAUGGUCGGACACCAAG
rnacentral:rRNA from 1 species